rnacentral:rRNA from 1 species
UGGUCAGGACGAACGCUGGCGGCGUGCCUAACACAUGCAAGUCGAACGGGGAUUUGUUUCGGCAGAAUCCUAGUGGCGAACGGGUGAGUAACGCGUAGGCAACCUGCCCUCCGGCCGGGGACAACACUCCGAAAGGGGUGCUAAUACCGGAUACGAAGUCUGUGCCGCAUGGUACGGAUUUGAAAGAUGGCCUCUAUUUAUAAGCUAUCGCCGGGGGAUGGGCCUGCGUCCGAUUAGCUGGUUGGUGGGGUAACGGCCUACCAAGGCGACGAUCGGUAGCCGGUCUGAGAGGAUGAACGGCCACAUUGGGACUGAGACACGGCCCAGACUCCUACGGGAGGCAGCAGUGGGGAAUCUUCCGCAAUGGGCGCAAGCCUGACGGAGCAACGCCGCGUGAGUGAGGAAGUUCUUCGGAACGUAAAGCUCUGUUGUUCCUGACGAACCUCCCCUUUAUCAACAACGGAGGGGACUGACGGUAGGGAACGAGGAAGCCACGGCUAACUACGUGCCAGCAGCCGC